rnacentral:rRNA from 1 species
GGGGUCAGUAGGUUGGUCGUGCCACCGGUACGUACUGGUCUCACUGAUUCCUCCUUCCUGAAGAACCGUAAUGCCAUUAAUUUGGUGUUGCGGGGAAACAGGACUGUUACUUUGAAAAAAUUAGAGUGUUUAAAGCAAGCUAACGCUUGAAUACAUUAGCAUGGAAUAAUGAAAUAGGACGAUCGAUCCUAUUUUGUUGGUUUCUAGGAUUGACGCA